UUGACUGCGUGGGCGGCACUCCACACAAUGCUUCCCACAGCUUUAAUGAAGGAGGAAUUUAUUUUCCCUGAGGCUCAGGGUGCGGCAGCGUGGAGAUCUGCCGUAAUGCGGGUGGCGAUGCCCCUGCGAGUGCGUCUGAGGCGGAGGCCCGGCGCAUAGAGUCGGAAAGAAUGGCA
ncrna:unclassified sequences malK-I RNA